rnacentral:rRNA from 1 species
CAUUCACGGAGAGUUUGAUCCUGGCUCAGGACGAACGCUGGCGGCGUGCUUAACACAUGCAAGUCGAACGAUGAACCGCUUUCGGGCGGGGAUUAGUGGCGAACGGGUGAGUAACACGUGGGCAAUCUGCCCUGCACUCUGGGACAAGCCCUGGAAACGGGGUCUAAGUACCGGAUAUGACUGUCCAUCGCAUGGUGAUGGUGUAAAGCUCCGGCGGUGCAGGAUGAGCCCGCGGCCUAUCAGCUUGUGGUGAGGUAGUGGCUC